GGUCCUGUAGCUCAGUUGGGAGAGUAUCCCCUUGACAUGGUGGGGGUCGCUGGUUCGAGACCAGUCGGGACCA
rnacentral:tRNA from 1 species